rnacentral:pre_miRNA from 15 species
UAAACCAUCGAAUCAUCUACAAGUGCUAAGUAGUGGUGCCGCAGGUAACCCAUGUGUGAUUACCUGCUGCCUACUGCUUAACAUUUUUACGUGAACAAUUUGGCC